CACAGAGAGGCUGAGCAACUUGCCCCAGGCCGCCAUGCCAGGCAGCUGCGUGUUCCGGCGGCAGAGGCAAGCUUUUACCUUGGACUCUGGUAGAUGUGGUUCAUCCACACACACCGACCAAGGGCCUACUGUGGGCCACGUGCUGUUGGGGAGCCGGGGGCACAGCAAUGGACGAAACAGGCAGAUUCCUGCCCCGUGGAGCUUUUUUUAUCCUAGAAGAGGAAGGAAGCCAAUCAAACAAGCAAACACCCGCCCUGGAGGGCGGUCGGUGCACAGAGAGAAAUGAAGCAGCCAAGGGGGAUAGGGAGGGUCCUAUGGGUGGUUUGUAACUUUCAAAGGGUGGGCAGGAAGGAAGUCAUUGCUGAGAAGAUGGCAUUGGAGCAAGGACCUGAAGGAAGGGAGGCUGCCCUCCCUGCCACCGGAAGUGACUCCCCUCAGCAAGGCCAAGGUGGCUCACGUGUCCCAUCACCCUUUCAUCUCUGCCCUUCUCUCUCGAGUGACAGCAUGGCGUGACAUGAGGGCUCUCCAGCCAUGGCCUUGCAGCCCUCUUGGGUAAGCAUCACGUACAUUUGGACCUUGAAGACUUGGUCAUGAAUCAGAGUUAGAUUGGGUGAGAUGGUCA
rnacentral:lncRNA from 10 species